UGGCAUGAGCUGCAACAAAGUUGCUUUUGCAGCUUGGCCUUCAAUGUUAAGGAAGAGAAUCCUUGGACUGAUUGGACUUCUUCCUUCUGCUAUUGUUGCCUGGUAGGAGAUUCACUUAAUCAGUAGAUUAAUAAAGUAGCUAAAUUUGAAGUGGA